CCCGGCGGCGGGCGGGCGGCGCGCAGGCGCGGCUGUGGUAGCGCUGAGGGAAGCGGGGCGGCGGACGGCGCCGGGUUGCCCGCGUCAACCCCUGCGCGAGCUCCCCGGAGGCGGUGGGGAGCGGCUUGUGGCCGGUGUUGGUGGUCGGUAGGCGGCCGCUCAGGUCCGGGCGUGCCCGCCCGCCCCUCGCUGCUCCCGGGCGGCGGGUAACGAGCCGGCACGAGGAGCUGCUGAGAUAGGAGUUAGCGUUGGUGGUUAUAGCGAAGCCGGAAUAACCUUGUCGAGCUCUUGUUUUCAGAGACUCCUUCUAAGCCUUGCGUGUACAAGGAAGCGGAGUAUCUCUGCUACCCUUAGCGUUUAUAACCCCCGACCUCCCUUCCCGCCGCCCCCGCCUCGGGUGCGCGCUCGCGCCCCUUCCCGCCCCUCACGUGCGCGAGGGUCACGAGCCGGCGUGAGCGGCUCCCGAGGGGAGUUUUAAUUUGCUGCUUAUAGGGAAGCCGGGUAAAAACCUCACUGGAUUUGUUUUUGGGGGAAGAAAAAAAAAAUCCACCCCUGAACCUUGGGCGUACAAGGGACCCGAAUAUCUGUACUCUCGUUACCGCAUUUAUAACUCCUCCGCGCGCCUCCCUCGGGCGCGCGCUUGCGCCCCUUCCCGCCCCUCAGGUGCGCGAGGGUCACGAGCCGGCGCGAGCGGCUCCUGAGGGAAGGUGGGGGCAGGUGCUGACCGCCUUCAUUUUAACCUCUUUUCCAGGUGUGUUUCUGCGACGGUUUUAAUAAAAACUGCCAGGUAGCGCUUUCCGCCCUUCCCCUCCUGGUUCUGCCUGCUGUGUCGCUCCCCGGGGUACCUGAAGUGAAGAUAAGGGAGGGCGGGGAUUGUGGAGUUUUCCUGGAGUUUUGGGGUUUGUUGGUGGGUUUGGAAAGUGAGUUAUGUACAGCGCAAUGGGGUGGUGAGAGGGAAGAAAAUCCACAUAGGAACAGCAAAACUUGGGGAAAAAAAAUUCUCUUAGAAUACUUCAGGGCAAUGCCCCCAUCAGCACACAGAUGUAAGCUAUUAUUUGGGUAAUAAGCACUUAAUUACUUACCUACUGCAAAUGGAAAAUAAUCCAAAAACUGUUGGCGAUUGUAAUUGCAAUAGAAGAAUGAAAAACGAAAUUAUGAGGGGGGUGUUUGUUGUUCUUAGUGUUAGCGUAGUUCCUAUAAAGCGUUGGCUCUGGUUCGUGUACAAAUCAGAAUUCCUGACCUGCAGGUACUCUCAGGUAUGAGCUCACCUCCUCAUGCAUGAGGUAAAAAUGGCUCACCAUCCCUGUCUGUUGUUUCCAGGAAAAUACUUCCCUCAUAAAUCAUCUUUAUUGUUUUUCAGGAGUUUCUAGACUGCAGCAAAAUGCAGAUGACUUGACAAUGGAAAUUCUUGUUGCCUCCGAAAGUAACAUUUUAUGAGCUACAGUUUUAUCACUGCUGCAUGCUCUUACUUCAGCACAUUAUCCAUCUUAUGUGUAGCUGCAGAUGGAGCCAGAAUCUGCUGCUGCUUCCCACACAAUCCAGUGCCAGCAGUGUCCCUGCCCUGUCACAGGCACACAGCCACCUUUGGGAAAGAAUGAAGGACCUGCUGAAGGAGGAUCUUGAUUGGGGUGGGACAAGUGAGGAUGUGAGCUGAAGGACAUGAGGCUGCAAAGCACCAGUAAGAGAAGAUGACUAUGAAAUCUCUGGAGAUGGGAAUGCCAUGGAUUCAGGGCCUUGUUUCUGUAGCUGCUCCAAGUCAGACUACUCAAAGUGAACCAGGAUUGGAACAGCAGCGUCCAGCACCCUGCAGGAUCAGACACUGAACCAUCUGGAACAUCCACCUCCAAACCUGGAGCUGCAAACCCACUCCUGCAGCCAGCAACCCUGCAAGUCCAGCAGGAAACCCCAGCCAGAGCCCAGCAGAGCCAGGAGGCCCUGAAUCCACUGCACAUUCCCAGCCUGGACGUGUGGAACACCAGCCAGUGUCACCACAGGCACCUGGGGGACACUGAACAGUUUCAGAGACACCACAGGAGGCUGCCACAGGAGCCUGAGCCCAGCAUGCACAAGUGAAGACAGCCCUUGGGAAGUGCCAUGAAUCCCAUAUGGAUUUAAGGAAGCCAAGCCUUCAGCAGACCUGCACAGAACCAAAUGGAUCAGUUCCCUCAGCUCCCCCGUGCAUCCCAGCCUCAGCCACGAAGGGCUGUUCCCACAUGAAGGAACUCACGUGGAAAGCCGAGUGCACUUGCAUCGCCCCUGGAUUGGUGUGGGAAGUGCCUGGGGCAUCUCUUGUCCAUGUGGAACCCACAGGAUGGAUUUUCCAGGAUCUCAGCAACCACACUUGGCACCAGCUUUUUCAAACAGUUCAGCUCCCUCAGACAUCACAGAAUCCCAGAAUGGUUUGGGUUGGGAGGGACCUUAAAGCCCAUCCAUUCCCACACCUGCCAUGGGCAGGGACACCUCCCACUGUCCCAGGCUGCUCCAAGCCCCAGUGUCCAACCUGGCCUUGGGCACUGCCAGGGAUCCAGGGGCAGCCACAGCUGCUCUGGGCACCCUGUGCCAGGGCCUGCCCACCCUCCCAGGGAGGGAUUCCUUCCCAAUAUCCCAUCUAAAUGUACCUCUUGAAUUUGUUUGAAGACAUGGGAGCUGACUCUCAUUGACUAAUUAGAGGUUAUAGAUGAUUAAUGGUUGACUUUCUCCCUAGUGCC